UCAAAGACGUUGCUACUGGGUAGUUUUUGAGCAUCUUCCUUCUCAAUGGUGCUGAGGGACUACAGGCAGAGAUGGAAUUCUGGAAGGCUCAAUUCCCCAUCAGGGAUGAGAAAAGGUACACCCAAAGCAUUCUUCUGAUAAGACAGGCAGGAUCGACAAGCUUCCCUUGACUGUUCCAUUCGGCUGUGAGCUGAGGGGAGGCAGGUACACAGGGAAAGCCCUUCUGACGGACAGUGACCGAAGAGGAAACUCAGGGAACACAGGCAGACACCUGGCGUUUGUUCCACUGCCUCGCUUUAUUUUAAAGCUUUCUGGUUCCAGAGAAAAGGAGGAAUUCCUAGAAAGGGGGAUGGCAGAGCUAUCACUGGUCUGUUUCAGCCGUCUAGAGCGUUCGUUUAGUCCGAGUGAAGCAGGUAGCGGCAGCUGCUGAGAGAAAACCAG